GACAGAGGGUGCAAACGUUGUUCGGAAUUACUGGGCGUAAAGCGUGCGCAGGCGGCUUUGCAAGACAGAUGUGAAAUCCCCGGGCUCAACCUGGGAACUGCAUUUGUGACUGCAAGGCUGGAGUACGGCAGAGGGGGAUGGAAUUCCGCGUGUAGCAGUGAAAUGCGUAGAUAUGCGGAGGAACACCGAUGGCGAAGGCAAUCCCCUGGGCCUGUACUGACGCUCAUGCACGAAAGCGUGGGGAGCAAACAGG
rnacentral:rRNA from 1 species